GGCUGAAAUACAUGCUAAUAUCUAAUAAAUUGAGUGUGAAAGUGCCUUUCUGACAAUUUUUGUACAACUUACUUACUAAGUACUUCUGCACAAAUAGUGUUCAGGCCCAUCUACACAAUACGACUAGUCAUAUACGAUUCUUAUCCUGUAGAUUGGACUUUACAGUACAGCCAUUAUGCGUGAAUCAAUUCCUUCUGUUACCGAUGUCAAUUUCACAAUGGAUUUUACUACAGUUACUUGCUAGGCCGCCAUUACUCUGGCAAGAACAUGCGUGGGUGCCGGCAGCGUCAAAAACAUCAAAGGAGUGAGCAUCUAUUCAUUUCCUAAUCUAUGCCGAUUCUGUGCUACUUUUAUACUGUCUGACAAUCACGUGGUGUAUAUGGAUGACUAACUGAUCAUCUCAUACAUAAAUAUUCAAAGUAUAUGGUAUUGUGAGAGAAAACUCCCAGUGAGAAUACUCUUGGACAUUCACUCAAACACUCACUAUAUACACUAUAUACACUUUUGACUAUAUACUGAUAAUAUACGUAUAUUGUGUAUAUAUAGACACCGUAUACACAAUAUACACUAUAUACUCUUGGACAUUCAUUUAAACACACACAAUAUACACUUUAUACACUUUUGACUAUAUACUGAUAAUAUAUACGCGGUAUAUUGUGUAUAUAAAGACACUAUAUACACAAUAUACACUAUAUCCUCUUGGACAUCCACUCAAACACUCACUAUAUACACUUUAUACACUUUUGACUAUAUACUGAUAAUAUACGUAUAUUGUGUAUAUAUAGACACUAUAUAUAUAUACACAAUAACAAGGGUAAAUAAUGUUAGCCAAUCAGCGCGUUUUUUUACAUUUUGCGUCCUUGACCAAUCAGAAUGCCUGAAAUUCGAAACAUAUAAACAAAAGGAGUGAGAGAAUAACACCUUGUUCUACGCCCCUCGUGACAUUCGAUAUUAAACUUUUUACUCCAAAACUGAGAAAUUCUGAUAAAGCAUGCUUUCUUCUUUAAUUUCCUCGGGGGGAUUUUUUAAAUUCGAUCUAGACUGCGAAAUAUUUAUGUUUGAAUAACAGUGUUUUAACGCGCGUAAAAUAGUAUACUCUCACUUGCACUAUCUUAACACAUACAUAAAAAAAUUGGUAGAUUUGGCAGUUUAAACUUAUUUUCCCCACACCACAGCCGAAAUGUUUUUAAAUAUUACCUAUAUCAUCUCAUCUCGCAUCGGAAAUGCGUCACAACGAUCCAGGACAGUAUCGCAUGACUCAUACCACAGUUAAUAAACUGUGCUCAUACACACUCAUUACUGUACAUAUCCGGUUGGCAAAAUGGCGAUUGUCAGACCUUCGCGAAAUGCUUAUUUUUGCUAACAAACUGUUCGCGAGGGCUUCGUUCUGUUCGUCUUCUGGUUCAUCGUCAUCGGCUGCCUCACUUUCUUCGUCGCUUUCGUCCUCUCCAAAGCGAGUCGCCGAGGCAAACAGCGUUAAUAUUUGCUGUCUUUCCAAGGCCUUCCAAGAGCUUCAACAUUUGCCAACGUUGUUGCUUGACAAACUGGGCAAUCGCUGAUGUUGGACAGCAUGCAUUCGAUGUGGAAUGAAUGUCCACAACCACGGAAAACGUUCCAAGUGGAUUAACCUUUUUGCAGGCAGGUGAAUUGCAUUUUCUAUGAUGUAAAUUGUAAAGUAAGAUUUAUAUUUUAUAUUUUAUACAGAUCUUUAUAGUCAGUGUGUCCUUGGAAAUUGUUCCAAAAUAUGAGUGUGUAGCAAAGUUAAAAUAGUACUCAUAAUCUCCAGAACAUGUUUGAAUCACUGCAGUUUAGAAUUAGCAGUCCUGAGACAUCGGAACUGGCAGCUGUUCAUCUGAUGAUUCUGAUCAAUAUGGCACCCCAUAUCUAUUUAGUUUACAAUACCAGUCAAUGUAAAUUACCACCUCCCCCAACCCAGGAGUUGGUAGAUUUUACUUUUCAGCACUGCAUAAUCAAAAUUGCUGGAUUGUAUGAAUAUCUGGUUUUGUCUC
rnacentral:lncRNA from 1 species